UUUGACUGUAGCAUGAGUGUCAUGCUUGCUAACGUUAGCGCUGCUGCGCUGAGUGUCUGUACAGUCUAAAUAAACCAGUCUGAAUCAAACACACACACAUGGAGCUGAAGUGGGAUGAGGUUCCUGCAAGCAGCCCUGUCCCGUUUUCCAAGGACACCUUUGACAAAUUCUCUCUGGCGCCCACAAUAAAAGAGCUAUGGUCUCUUUUACAGAGUCCUGAUGUAAAAGUUGAAGUGAAAGAAGAAAGUAAGGUCAGACCAGCUGGUUCCUCCUCAAAACCAUCCAAAAACAGUACAGUCACACCACAGAACAGCAGCAGAAACAGCCAUGGCUCUGCUGGCUCCACUUCAGACUGCAGUGACACUCCUACUGAUUAUAAGAAUAAUCUGACUGAGACGAAGGAAAAUGAAGGAUUCCCCAAUCCAAAAGUGCCCUAUCCUUGCUACUCAGCCAUCAACCACAAAGAGCGACUGGCUUACCUACGGUUACUAAAGAAUAAAAACUACCACACAGCUCCACAAAAAGUGAUGAACGAGAUUGCAGAGUUUAUGAAGUAUCUGCAGGAUGUCUCCAAAGUAUGUGCUGAUGACUACAAGUACAUGCCCCUGGGAACCCCUCGCUACUUAGAGGAAUAUUUUAAAGCCUGCUUGGACUAUAUGAUGAACUAUCCACAGAUUUACUGCAUCCAAGAAAUCACCAGCCUGACUGGGGGAAAGUAUGUGUCUGACAUUUCCCUCAACUUUGAGAAACAGCUGCUUGCAAUGGGCAACAUAGAGAUUGUGGAAAAAAAGAUGCUGCCAGAAGAAACUAAACUGUCUGUGGAUUAUGACUCUGUUUCAGCUAUGAUUUCUCCAUAUAAAAAGGCCAGUCAGUUUCACAGAGCUAUCAGCAGUGACACAAAUGCAGAGAAGCUCAGUGCUAUAUAUGAGCCUCAUGUGUGUCUAGCAAAGGAAGCCUUCCUCCAGCUCCUGAACAACAGUGCUGGGUAUACAGAAGCAUGGGAGCUACCAGUCUGGGUGAAAGAAAACCCUGGAAAAUGUAGCAGUCAGAGUAAAACGGUGUACAUCGACCCUCCUCUGCUGAAGACGCAGAUAACCUGGAGAGAGAGAAAUCAUCUCAUUCAUGAGGAGAGUGUAAAACUAGCAUACAAGAAGACAGGCUCAAAUCCUGUGUUUUUUCUCCUAACAGAGGACUAUUCCAAUAAAACAGACUUUGCCCCAGAGGGAAAAAAAUCCAGGGCAGUUGUUUCAUUUGAUGACACCAGCAUAGACUUUGAAGUGGAUGUAACUGAACUGGAGUCAUUUGGGGAGUCCUACCAACUCAGUAAAAAAGUAAAAGGCCAUGAUGAAUCUAAAGCCCUUUCUAAAAAUCAAACAUUAGGAUUAUCAAAACCUAAAUUAGGCUCAGAUAAACAUGUUCUGGCUGGAGCUUCCACACCUGAAGACAUUUCUAUGUCAUCCCAUGCAUUACCAAAGGAAGAAUUGAAAGAAGAAGCAGUCAAGACGGAUGUAAGGGACAGCUCAACAGACAAGAGUACUGAGGAUAUUUUGAACACUGUAUCUGAAGACCCCAUGAAUAAUAGUUCCUCUGUAGAAGAGUGCUCCAGUUCUGAAUGUCCUCCAACAAAGCGGAUAAGGCACAACUCUGUGUACAGUUCAGACCACAGUAUGGAUUCUGAUGAGGAACGCCUUGUUAUUGAUCACCCAGGGUCCCCACCGUACCGUGUAGCUGAAAAGACCCAGAUGGCUCCACCUGCUCCAGGGAGCAUCACUGAUGGCAACAAUGAAAAGACUUCAGAUCCCACCACGCCCUUGAGUCCUACUGCCUCCGCCAAAAGAGCUAAGAAAGGAACGAAAAGGUCCAGAGUCUCUGGGGACUGUGACCAACUAGGGCACAUUUUGCGAAUGCAGAAUGCCAUGCUGAAAUCCACCAUGAGCAAGGGCCAAGAGCCUUCAAAAGCACAAACCUCGGAGUGUAGACCCUCAGAGCCCAAAUUAAACAGCCACCCUCACUCUUUGGUCAAGCCCUGUGUGUCCUCCUACCUGGACUCUGGAGAAGGCCUGGAUGAAGAGGCUGCAACUCCUACCAUCUGUCAACCCACAGUGCAAAAGAAACGGCUGCUGAGAGAGGAGCUGCUGGUGAGCGCAGAGGAUGAGAAAGACUACGAGGCUCCAGAGGAAGCCAGUGUGCUCUAUAAGCUCUACAGCCUGCUAGACGUGCUGCUGAUGGUGCGCAGCACCGUAGACAUCGCCCACCCUAGACAUGAUCCAGGCACCUUCAGGGCUGUGCCAGUGCACGUGCUGCCUAAGAUGGAGUACCAGCUGUGUUACGGAGCCGAGAGCCUUACCCACACUGAGGCAUGCCUUCUCUGGGCUGAGCAGCUCCUCCACUCCAGCACGGCCUCUUUCAUAGGGCGCAUUAAUGCACACACAUCGAAAGUGGUGCAGCUGCAGGAGCUCUCGGCUGACUGGAUCCAGAACACCUCCUGUGAUUUCAAGCCAGCUAGGUGCUUGAAUACUCUCUAUCACAUAUUGAAAAAAGUCACGGGCUUACAGGAGGGGAGGUACCUGUUGGGCCACAAACCUGGUGAGGCAGUUGUGACCAUCUUCAAAGCCAGUGAUGAAAAGAAACCCAGUCGUAGUAUCUAUGACCUUCAAGUGGUGCACUCUGGUCCCCCAGCGGUCCCUCUGGAGGACAAGGUGCCCUGGGUUCCACUGGACCCAUUCCAUCUAAUGCCUUUCCAUCAGAAAUACAAAAGACCACCUUGCACCUUCCCCCCACGCCCACCCCCACAGCAAAAGGUAUGAUGAAUGGAAUAGCUCUUUCCAGUUCAGAAAGAUAUACAUUUUUAAAUUACUAAAUCUAAUAAAUUUUAAAUGAAAUGGGCAUCAUUGUUAAUUUUUGAUUCUUGGCUCAUUUGAUAUGAAGCUGCAACCUGGGCAUAGUUAUUAAAUAAGGUGCAAUUUCAAGAUUCUUUUUAGAUGCAAAGCACUUCCUGAACCUUAUAUGUAACCCACUAACUCAUGUUACUGUUCAUUUAAAUAGCACCCCUCCAAGUCAUAACUGGCUGAUAUAAUACCAAAUUUAAAAAAAAAUAUACAUUAAUUUAUAAUUUUUAAAGUUAUAAUUGAGAUUAUAAUCCUCAGUGGUGAGGAAAUUUGCUAAAAAUAUUGUAGUUGCACACCAUCUUGUUAUCAGUUUGACCACUACAAAAGCCUCCUGCAAGCAUUAAUAUAACCUGAAAAACAAAUGUAUUUUACAGUGUUGAUCAUUCAGUGUGUAUAUGUAAGUUAUUUUUCUUGUCAGCUAAUUAAUUGAAAGUGAAAUUGUAGUCACUGCCCAGAUUUAGUGGGCUUGGUAGAACACCAGCAAUGGGUGCUAUAGACGAAACUCUGUCACACUGUAUGUCCUUGUUUAUGUUCAUAGCCAUUCAAGAUAAUCUAUGGAAGAUACAGUCUGAUAAUGUGCUUAGAAGAGGCAUAUAUUUCACAGCCCUGCACACCUAGCCAAGAUAAACAGACUUCUCUGAGGGGCUGCCUUUCCCAGCAUACUGUUCACUGCCCAACCCUGACAACAGAAGCAUGUCCAGAUCUGUUAUCAGAUCUGCCAGGCCACUCAUUUCAUCCUGUUGCCUGUCAUCCUGUUCUCCUCCUCGUUUCUCUGUAACCUCACUUUCUCUUUAGUCACACAGUCUUGGAUUCUUAUUCAGUAAUUUGUUAACAUAACAAGCACUGACUGCGGCUGGUGGGGUGGCCGAAGCCCUCUAACAAUAAUGGUUACAAGUAAGAGUCUCUGAAGAAUUCAGACCAAUUCUUUACUUCUACAAACCUCUUCCAGCGAGGGCUUUUAUUGCUGCAGGCCCUGAGGAUAGCAGCCACACCUUCCCGCCAUGAAAAACCAAUCAGGUCAGAGUCUAUCCUUAGGUAGCAUUCUAUGUAAAGCAGAUAAUGCAGGUCAUAUCUGUGACUUCACAGGGACACAAUGAAGGCAGGAAGGGGUAAAGGAGGAAAGCAAGGUAACACUCCAACCAGACCCACACAAGGGGCCCAAAACUCUUCAGCAGUUGCCAGUCAAAGUCAGGAGAAGAAGAAGAAGAGGAAGA